rnacentral:rRNA from 1 species
UCCGUAGGCGGCUUAAUAAGUCAGCGGUGAAAGUUUUUGGCUUAACCAAAAAUUGCCAUUGAUACUGUUAGGCUUGAAUUUUUGUGAAGUAACUAGAAUAUGUAGUGUAGCGGUGAAAUGCUUAGAUAUUACAUGGAAUACCAAUUGCGAAGGCAGGUUACUAACAAACGAUUGACGCUGAUGGACGAAAGCGUGGGUAGCGAACA